rnacentral:rRNA from 1 species
GGAUUAGAUACCCUGGUAGUCCACGCUGUAAACGAUGGUCACUAGCUGUAUGGGCGCAAGUCUGUGUGGCUAAGCGAAAGUGAUAAGUGACCCACCUGGGGAGUACGUUCGCAAGAAUGAAACUCAAAGGAAUUGACGGGGGCCCGCACAAGCGGUGGAGCAUGUGGUUUAAUUCGAUGAUACGCGAGGAACCUUACCAAGGCUUAAAUGUAGAUUGACGUACUGAGAGAUCGGUAUUUCUUCGGACAAUUUACAAGGUGCUGCAUGGUUGUCGUCAGCUCGUGCCG